rnacentral:rRNA from 1 species
AGUCAAGUAAUUAAGUGCAUGUGGUGGAUGCCUUGGCAGUCAGAGGCGAUGAAAGACGUGAUAGCCUGCGAAAAGCUCCGGGGAGGCGGCAAAUAUCCUUUGAUCCGGAGAUGUCUGAAUGGGGGAACCCACCUACUUUAAGGUAGGUAUUGCAACAUGAAUACAUAGUGUUGCAAGGCGAACGAGGGGAAGUGAAACAUCUCAGUACCCUUAGGAAAAGAAAUCAAUUGAGAUUCCCUCAGUAGCGGCGAGCGAACGGGGAUCAGCCCAUUAAGUUAUGUGUGUUUUAGUGGAACGCUCUGGGAAGUGCGAACGUAGAGGGUGAUAUUCCCGUACACGAAAGGGCACACAUAAUGAUGACGAGUAGGGCGAGGCACGUGAAACCUUGUCUGAAUAUGGGGGGACCAUCCUCCAAGGCUAAAUACUCCUGACUGACCGAUAGUGAACCAGUACCGUGAGGGAAAGGCGAAAAGAACCCCUGUGAGGGGAGUGAAAUAGAUCCUGAAACCGCAUGCAUACAAGCAGUGGGAGCACCUUCGUGGUGUGACUGCGUACCUUUUGUAUAAUGGGUCAGCGACUUAUAUUCAGUAGCGAGGUUAACCGUAUAGGGGAGCCGUAGAGAAAUCGAGUCUUAAUAGGGCGUUUAGUUGCUGGGUAUAGACCCGAAACCAGGCGAUCUAUCCAUGAGCAGGUUGAAGGUUGGGUAACACUAACUGGAGGACCGAACCCACUGUCGUUGAAAAGCCAGGGGAUGACUUGUGGAUAGGGGUGAAAGGCUAAUCAAGCCUGGUGAUAGCUGGUUCUCCCCGAAAGCUAUUUAGGUAGCGCCUCGGACGAAUACCAUAGGGGGUAGAGCACUGUUUCGGCUAGGGGGUCAUCCCGACUUACCAAACCGAUGCAAACUCCGAAUACCUAUGAGUACUAUCCGGGAGACAGACUGCGGGUGCUAACGUCCGUAGUCAAGAGGAAAACAAUCCAGACCGCCAGCUAAGGCCCCAAAAUCAUAGUUAAGUGGGAAACGAUGUGGGAAGGCAUAGACAGCUAGGAGGUUGGCUUAGAAGCAGCCACCCUUUAAAGAAAGCGUAAUAGCUCACUAGUCGAGUCGGCCUGCGCGGAAGAUGUAACGGGGCUAAAACUAUGUGCCGAAGCUGCGGAUGUAUACUUUGUAUACGUGGUAGGGGAGCGUUCUGUAAGCCGAUGAAGGUGUGUUGAGAAGCAUGCUGGAGGUAUCAGAAGUGCGAAUGCUGACGUGAGUAACGACAAAACGGGUGAAAAACCCGUUCGCCGAAAGACCAAGGGUUCCAGUCCAACGUUAAUCGGGGCUGGGUGAGUCGACCCCUAAGGCGAGGCCGAAAGGCGUAGUCGAUGGGAAAAUGGUUAAUAUUCCAUUACUUCUGUGUAAUGCGAUGAGAGGACGGAGAAGGCUAAAUCAGCCUGGCGUUGGUUGUCCAGGUGAAAGGAUGUAGGCAUGUAUCUUAGGCAAAUCCGGGGUGCUCUAUGCUGAGAUCUGAUAGCAAGCUGUACUUGUACAGCGAAGUGGUUGAUGCCAUGCUUCCAGGAAAAGUCUCUAAGCUUCAGUUACACAGGAAUCGUACCCGAAACCGACACAGGUGGUCAGGUCGAGUAGACCAAGGCGCUUGAGAGAACUCUGCUGAAGGAACUAGGCAAAAUGGUACCGUAACUUCGGGAGAAGGUACGCUGUUGUUGGUGAUGGAACUCGCUUCCUGAGCUGACGACAGCCGCAGAAACCAGGCCGCUGCAACUGUUUAUUAAAAACAUAGCACUCUGCAAACACGAAAGUGGACGUAUAGGGUGUGAUGCCUGCCCGGUGCUGGAAGGUUAAUUGAUGGGGUUAGCGUAAGCGAAGCUCUUGAUCGAAGCCCCAGUAAACGGCGGCCGUAACUAUAACGGUCCUAAGGUAGCGAAAUUCCUUGUCGGGUAAGUUCCGACCUGCACGAAUGGCAUAA